rnacentral:rRNA from 1 species
GUUAAUAAGGGCGCACGGUGGAUGCCUUGGCACUAGAAGCCGAAGAAGGACGUGACUAACGACGAAAUGCUUUGGGGAGCUGUAAGUAAGCGCUGAUCCAGAGAUGUCCGAAUGGGGGAACCCACUAGUUAAUGACUAGUAUCCAUAUCUGUUAAGGAUAUGAGAAGGAAGACGCAGUGAACUGAAACAUCUAAGUAGCUGCAGGAAGAGAAAGCAAAAGCGAUUGCCUUAGUAGCGGCGAGCGAAACGGCAGGAGGGCAAACCGAAGUGUUUACACUUCGGGGUUGUAGGACUGCGAUAUAGGAUUAAUCAUUAUAGAAGAAUUACCUGGGAAGGUAAGCCAAAGAGAGUAACAGCCUCGUAUUUAAAAUGAUAGAUUAACCUUAGCAGUAUCCUGAGUACGGCGAGACACGCGAAAUCUCGUCGGAAUCUGGGAGGACCAUCUCCCAACCCUAAAUACUCUCUAGUGACCGAUAGUGAACCAGUACCGUGAGGGAAAGGUGAAAAGCACCCCGGGAGGGGAGUGAAAUAGAACCUGAAACCGUGUGCCUACAACAAGUUCGAGCCCGUUAAUGGGUGAGAGCGUGCCUUUUGUAGAAUGAACCGGCGAGUUACGAUAUGAUGCGAGGUUAAGUUGAAGAGACGGAGCCGUAGGGAAACCGAGUCUUAAUAGGGCGUCAUAGUAUCAUGUUGUAGACCCGAAACCAUGUGACCUACCCAUGAGCAGGUUGAAGGUGAGGUAAAACUCACUGGAGGACCGAACCAGGGCACGUUGAAAAGUGCUUGGAUGACUUGUGGGUAGCGGAGAAAUUCCAAACGAACUUGGAGAUAGCUGGUUCUCUCCGAAAUAGCUUUAGGGCUAGCGUCGAUGUUAAGUCUCUUGGAGGUAGAGCACUGUUUGGGUGAGGGGUCCAUCCCGGAUUACCAAUCUCAGAUAAACUCCGAAUGCCAACGAGAUAUAAUCGGCAGUCAGACUGCGAGUGCUAAGAUCCGUAGUCGAAAGGGAAACAGCCCAGACCACCAGCUAAGGUCCCAAAAUAUAUGUUAAGUGGAAAAGGAUGUGGGGUUGCACAGACAACUAGGAUGUUAGCUUAGAAGCAGCUAUUCAUUCAAAGAGUGCGUAAUAGCUCACUAGUCGAGUGACCCUGCGCCGAAAAUGUACCGGGGCUAAAACAUAUUACCGAAGCUGUGGAUGACACAAAAGUGUCAUGGUAGGAGAGCGUUCUAUGUGUGAAGAAGGUGUACCGUGAGGAGCGCUGGAACGCAUAGAAGUGAGAAUGCCGGUAUGAGUAGCGCAAGACAGGUGAGAAUCCUGUCCACCGUAAGACUAAGGUUUCCAGGGGAAGGCUCGUCCGCCCUGGGUUAGUCGGGACCUAAGGAGAGACCGAAAGGUGUAUCCGAUGGACAACAGGUUGAUAUUCCUGUACUAGAGUAUAUAGUGAUGGAGGGACGCAGUAGGCUAACUAAACCAGACGAUUGGAAGUGUCUGGU